rnacentral:rRNA from 1 species
CCUACGGGGGGCAGCAGUGGGGAAUAUUGGACAAUGGGGGGAACCCUGAUCCAGCCAUGCCGCGUGUGUGAAGAAGUCCCUCGGGUUGUAAAGCACUUUCAGUGAGGAAGAACGCCUGGUGGUUAAUACCCAUCAGGAAAGAUAUCACUCACAGAAGAAGCACCGGCUAACUCCGUGCCAGCAGCCGCGGUAAUACGGAGGGUGCGAGCGUUAAUCGGAAUUACUGGGCGUAAAGCGCGCGUAGGUGGCUUGAUAAGCCGGUUGUGAAAGCCCCGGGCUCAACCUGGGAACGGCAUCCGGAACUGUCAAGCUAGAGUGCAGGAGAGGAAGGUAGAAUUCCCGGUGUAGCGGUGAAAUGCGUAGAGAUCGGGAGGAAUACCAGUGGCGAAGGCGGCCUUCUGGACUGACACUGACACUGAGGUGCGAAAGCGUGGGUAGCAAACAGGAUUAGAUACCCCUGUAGUC